rnacentral:rRNA from 1 species
UACCGGCAGCUCUAGUGGUAGCCACUAUUAUUGGGCCUAAAGCGUCCGUAGCCGGUCAGGUAAAUCCUUGGGUAAAUCGUACAGCUUAACUGUGCGGCUUCCGGGGAGACUGCUUGACUUGGGACCGGGAGAGGUUGGAGGUACUCCUGGGGUAGGGGUGAAAUCCUGUAAUCCUAGGUGGACCACCGGUGGCGAAGGCGUCCAACCAGAACGGCUCCGACGGUGAGGGACGAAGGCUAGGGGCGCAAACCGGAUUAGAUACCCGGGUAGUCCUAGCUGUAAACGCUGCGGACUUGGUGUUGGAGAUCCUACGAGGGUGUCCAGUGCCGGAGAGAAGUUGUUAAGUUUGCCGCCUGGGAAGUAUGGCCGCAAGGCUGAAACUUAAAGGAAUUGGCGGGGGAGCACCGCAACGGGAGGAGCGUGCGGUUU